GAUAGAGGGUGCAAACGUUGUUCGGAAUUACUGGGCGUAAAGCGCGUGUAGGCGGCUAAGUAAGUCGGGCGUGAAAUCCCACGGCUCAACCGUGGAAGUGCACUCGAAACUGCGUAGCUAGAGUCCUGGAGAGGAAGGUGGAAUGCUUGGUGUAGAGGUGAAAUUCGUAGAUAUCAAGCGGAACACCGGUGGCGAAGGCGGCCUUCUGGACAGUGACUGACGCUGAGACGCGAAAGCGUGGGGAGCAAACAGG
rnacentral:rRNA from 1 species